rnacentral:rRNA from 1 species
AACGUAGGUGGCAAGCGUUAUCCGGAAUUACUGGGCGUAAAGGGUGUGCAGGCGGGGAAGCAAGUGGUGUAUGAAAUCUCCCAGCUUAACUGGGAUAGGUUAUGCCAGACUGCUUUUCUAGAGGACGAGAGAGGGGGGUGGAAUUCCGGGUGUAGUGGUGAAAUGCGCAGAUAUCAGGAGGAACACCGAUGGCGAAGGCAGGUCUCUGGGCAUUAACUGACGCUGAGGAGCGGAAAGCAUGGGGAGCGAACAGG